rnacentral:rRNA from 1 species
CAAGUCGAACGGAAUGCUUAGCUUGCUUUGCAUUUUAGUGGCGGACGGGUGAGUAACGCGUGGGGACCUGCCCUGGAGUGGGGAACAACGACGGGAAACUGUCGCUAAUACCGCAUACGCCCUGAGGGGGAAAGGCUUCGGCCGCUCUAGGAUGGACCCGCGUCGGAUUAGCUAGUUGGUAGGGUAACGGCCUACCAAGGCGACGAUCCGUAGCUGGUCUGAGAGGAUGAUCAGCCACACUGGGACUGAGACACGGCCCAGACUCCUACGGGAGGCAGCAGUGGGGAAUAUUGGACAAUGGGGGAAACCCUGAUCCAGCAAUGCCGCGUGUGUGAAGAAGGCCUUAGGGUUGUAAAGCACUUUCGCCCGCGAAGAUGAUGACGGUAGCGGGAGAAGAAGCCCCGGCUAACUCCGUGCCAGCAGCCGCGGUAAUA